CCCAACUCAAAGUCAACCCAAGGUCAAACAAGGUCAACCCAACUCAAGUAAAGUCAAAGUUCACCAAAGCCAACUCAAGGUCAACCAAGGUCAACCCAACCCAAUCAAAAGUCAACCAAACCCAACCCAGUUCAAGCCAGAGUCAACCAAACCCAAGUCAAGGUCAACCAAGGUCAACCAAACCCAUCCCAACCCAAGUUCAAAGUCAACCAAAUCCAAGUCAAGGUCAACCAAACCCAACCCAAGAUCAACCCAAGUCAAGGUCAACCCAACCCUUGGUCAACCCAACCAAUGGUCAGCAAGGCCAAACCAACCCAACGACCAACGCGAGUCAAGACCGGACAAUCGAUGGUCAACGUCAAGACCAACCCAACGGUCAUCUCAAGACCAACCCAAUGGUCAGCUCAAGAUCAAGACCACCCCAGUGGUCAGCCCAAUUAACCGUUCACGAAAUCAAGACCAACCCAACGGUCAUCUCCAUCCAU
rnacentral:lncRNA from 1 species